GGGCACCAUGGCAUAGCUAUCUGGGGUAUCACCGCUCAAACAGGGCAAGCACCGAAUGACCCGGCUUUCAUGUCUUUGCAGGGGAAAAUCAAGCCUUUUAACAUGGGGCCAUAAUCCAAAGGCAACAGGUGAGCAACCAGGCUUCUCCAAUGCAAUGCGGCGAGAUUGGUCUCGUCACACACGCAUUCAAACCUUCUGGGCAGGUGUACAUAGCGUUGCACAGGCAACAACUGGGUGCUCCAUCCCACUAGCACCCCUACAGCUGUUACUAAUUGACCUACUGGUGGGCUAACCUAGGGCCACACUAAAAUUGCUACUACACAUUGUGCUGACAGCACAGAGGGUAAUUCCUAAAAAAACUGGGGGAAAAAAGGCCCCCUGUGUCUCAGCGCUUACUCACUGACCUGGAUACACAGAGCUCAUAUGAGCAGGACUUGAAAACACAAUUCCCUCCCAAUCAAACCUCCCGUAAAGCAUGGGGUAUGUGGUACUCGUGGAGAUCGCCUACCAAAUGAACUAUCAUGACAAUUAAAUGUCAACGUGAAGUGAGGGAUAUGAAGGCCCUACCUCCUAUAGGUCUGUACCAGGCAUACGAUGCGCCUGUUUAGAGUGCUGGAUGAACUGUGAAACCUGAUGACGAGACAAUGUCCUUAUGUGAAUGACAUGUAUAUUAUAUCUGUAUUCAUUGCCUAUUCUGUACGAGCCUAAAUUUUAUACUGAUUAAAUUAAUUCUCCCCUCCCCCCUUUUUUCCUUCUUCCAUGCUGUACUCCUCACAUUAUGCAAACCAAUAAAAAUUGGCAAAUUGGGAAAAAAAACAACAAAGGUAUAGGAACGGUGGGCGUGGCCAACAGCCAACGGGAAUGGUCGCAUAAAUCUUGUGCUCCUACGCGAUCGGCAUAACAUGACGGUAAUAGGGACUAAAACUGCGGAAUAGCAAGGUACUCAAGCCUUCUACCGUGAGUUAACAAGCUGCUGGGACAGAUGGCGUUGAAAAAUAAAACAAAAGCAGACAAGGCUGCCUUCUUCACACAAACAGCCUGCAGGUCCAAAAGACCGCCUAACAGUGAACAAGAUGGCGCCGAAGUGGGGACUGAGGCUCCGCUCUCAGACCUGGAAUACGAAGCUCCGACGGGAGGUGAUGGUCUGAUCACAGAAAUGAAGAUGAAAUCCUUGCUGGAAGCACUUAAUGAUGCAUCAAUUCCGAGAGACCGUGGCGACUCUCACCAAAGAUGUGGCUGAUCUGGGUGAGCACACAUCACACAGAGAAUAAACUGGCAGAGCAUGCGGAGGCCCACAAUAGCAUGGUUGAUGCAAUGCAACACAUAGAACACAGACUGAAAACCUCUGAAGACAAGCUGACUGGCCUUGAGGAUCGUUCCAGGAGGAACAAUGUGUGCAUAAGGGUCAUAUCAGAGUCCAUAGAAACCAGGCAAUUGCUCCAUUACGUUACAACCUUCUUCCUCAUCAUAGAUCGCAUUCACAGGGUGGGGAGGCAGAAACACAUACGGAUGUGCUUAUGCGAAUCCAUUACUUCCACAUUGAAGAUCAAAUCAUGAAAGCCAGCCACAAGAAUGGACCGCUAGCGGAAUACAAAGCUCUACAACUCUAUGCAGACCUUUCCCCGGCCACACUGUUCCAAAGAAGGUAACUCUCGCAAAUCACAUAAUCUCUUUGGGCUCAAAACGUGCCGUACAGAUGGGGAUUCCCAACCAAACUACUUGUAAUGAAAAACCUUACACACGAUCAAGAUGGUGGAAGAAGGACGUUAGAUCUUACAGGACUGGGACAUACCUAUUCAGCCCCCUUAAAAACCACUCGCAUCCCGCCCAAGGAGACUGUCCCCUGAAUGGCAAAAGGUCCAGUAAAGGAACUGAUUCUCUGAAGCACGUGCUGUUACAGCCCGAAUGGGGCGACCCCUUUGGGUAACGUAGAGUUGUCCCGCAUGUCUAUACUUGUUAGUUCUGUUACUAGCAUGUAAGGCGGAGCUGAUAUUUUUACUUCUAUAGGCAAGAAGCCAUAAUAGAGGCACUCUUCCCUUAUUAUUCCAAGUGGCUAUCACAGGCCUGGGACUCAUACUAGGAGACCCACACCUUGGAGAUGUUACGCUUAAAGUUGUCACUGAUUCUCACAAAAACAAAAAGGGAAAUUUUGUUUGUAUAGCGGCAAGAGACUAGGCACCGAAUAUAUGGGCUAGUUGGUUAUCAGGCAGUUAAUGGGACCUAAGCAUUAUAUGCAGUCAGCGAAUAGUGCCAUAGCCAGUGGGCUGACUACUUAAACACACUGGAAUGGUUCACAAUUACCACGACCCCAGGGAGUUGCCAUGGCCCAGUUGAUGGCAUCUCCACCCCCUUGGGAGAUAGGAUAUGGGCUGUUUUGUUUGUAAAUAAUUUGUUUUUGUAUAUAAUGUUUUAUGGUUAUGUACCCUUCCCUCCACUACCCUCCCACUCCCCCACUACCAGCACUUCUGAUAAGGCCAGAACAGACACUCACAAGCACAUACACCCGAGAUCUGAUUUAUGAAAAUAGUCACACACAACGUUAAGGCAUUGAAUACCCAACACAAACUUAACCUAUACAAAGAUUUGUCCAAAUGGCAGUGACCUACUUUAACAAACAGCCACCGCAAUCCUUAUACUCAAAACAAUAUAUCAGGCAAUAUAAGUCCCCGGCCCACACGAAGGCAAGAGGGCUAUGCAUUUUGGUCAACGAUAACAUAGCAUUUACUCUCCUGCGCAAACUCUCAGAUCCAAUACUAGUCUGCAUUGUAAAUAAAAUUACCAUUACCUAUACUAUAACGAAAGCCUACUUCCCAAAUUCCAAUCAGGCUCAUUUUUUGGAGGUGCUAUGUAAUAAAUAGACAGGAUGGAACCAGGCCUGGAUUCUUCAGCUCAGUUCACAAAACCAAGACUGAAGACGCUACAGGGCUCCUGCAAAUCUUUAUGGUCCCGUAUUCAGUUUCACAACUUAUGUGGCGCACAUUACAUGAUAACGAAAGAGAUUAUACUUCCCACUCAGCGGUCCACAACUCUUACACGAGAUUGGAUCUCUUUUACAUCUCGCCUACGGACCUGACUCAAAUAGACAAAUGCGUGAUAGGACACCCAGAUCAGAUCAGGGGUUCAGGCGCUAGUCUUUCUACACAUAAGAGAUGCUUACACCUACAAAGGGAAAGGAUACUGGAGGUUGAUGAAUCACUACUCCAAGAUGUAGACUUUGUUAAGAAUGCUAGGGUAGAACUACAAGACUAUUUUACUAGGAAUGACACGGGAGACUUCCUUAGACAAUAUAUGGUUAGCUCACAAGUCUGUGAUUAGAGGCAUUUUUAAAAGGAGGACGACAUAACAAAAACGGCAAAGGGAAUCACAAAUGUAAGACUGGCUCCUCCAAUUAGAAUACCUAACCAAACAAAACAAACGAAAAGCAUCCAGAGAGCUGGCUAAAAAGAUACAGGCACUAAAAUCCCUAAUUGAGGAGGACAACCUACACAAAAUGAACCUCCACCUACACAAACUAAAAUCUAGAUUUUCCACCAGGGAAAUAGGGCAGGCAAGUUAUUGGCCAAUAUGCUCAAACACAGACAGGCAAAACAACGUAUCACCCACAUACGUACAAAUAUGAAAAUAGUACGCAAACCUCAAGACAUCAGCGAGACUUUUGCGACAUUCUACAAGGCACUAUAAAACAUACAGACUGACCAACCAAACAUGACACCAUCUAAGGAACAGUUCCAAGAAUUCCUGACACUGGUAUCCCUCCCCAAAUUGACCAAUGACCAAGCAGGAUCACUGACAGCACCUUUAUCGGAUGCAGAGAUACUUAAGACGAUUUCGGGACUGCCGACAAAGCGCCGGGGCCGGACGGCCUUACAAGCAAAUAUUACCAGGUCUUUGGGGAUCUUCUAGAACCAUACCUGACGAAGCUGUUUAACUUCACCAACCACGGCAAAGGCUUACCGCCAGAUAUGCUACUGGCUAACAUUACGACGGUUGACCCAGAUCCCAAGCGGCAGUGUGUUUCACUGGGAGGGGAGAGCAGCGUCCUCCCUUAUCAGCGGCAGCAUAGCCCACCAAGGGGAGACAAUAAGCCCCACAACAGUACAGAUGGGACUGUAGUCUCUGCACCUGCACCACCGGGGGUGUCCUGUUUCCCGACAGCAGGACCAUUUAGCCAAGGGGGAGACAGUCUGCCCCCCCCUCCAGCAACCAAGUGUGAUGUUGGAGUGGCUGAGCAUGUUAUUGGAAGGGGAGAAGGCUGUUUCCCCUUCCCAACAGCGGGACCAUUUAUUGGAAGGGGAAACAGUCGGUUCUCCCCUACAACAAGGGAGAGUGUUGCAGGAAGAAAAGCUGGCAACCGGUCAGAAAGCAGGCUGCUUCUGCCCUCUCUUCCCUUUUGCCUUAGAUCCUGAUGGCACACCAUCUACAUCAAGGGCACCGAGGACCACAGAGCAAAGUUUUGCGGACCUCGACCCACCAGGUCUAGAGGAGGGGAACUGCAUCCGCCAUCCCCAGCAAAAGCUUUGUCCAACCAGGGGAGAAGGCAUCCUGGUUGUUUUUCCACAAGACCCGGGAUCUACAACUGGGCACAGGUGGCAGGAGGCCAUCUGGACAACUACACCUUUUGAGAAAGGCCGGCAGACUAUCAGAGCACCAGACCAUUGGGAGGUCUGGAGUCUGGAUAGUCUCAAUGGGAAAAGGGAGAUAUGUAGCAAACUCAACCCUUUAAGAGAGUUUGCCAUGAGCUUUUGGAGGGGCUUGCUUGCCCGCCUCCUGCCAUGUGACUAUGGCCCUGGGGGUAUUUGGGCAUGAUGGAUUUUUAUUAUGUGGCUACUGGCCCUUUAAGCACCGUGUAUGGACUUCUAUUAGACUGUGUAUAGAUUGUGUAUAGGAAGGUGUACCCCUCCCCCGUUUCCUGUCCCAUUGUUCUCCAGCAGGGCGUUGUCCCAGGCACACUGCCAGACUAGCUGGAACUGGUUUGAUCUGGAAAGCCAUGUUUCAGUUGACCAAAAGGGACCUCCACAAAACUUGAAACCCCCAUAACUCCUGAACCCCUGAUCUGAUCUGGGUGAUUUUUGGAUAUGUGUCUCACCCAGAUCAGGGCCACCAGGGGAUGUAAUAUUUAAAGGGAUACUCCUAGGUUUAGGGGUACAUCCAGAAAACAAGGGGAACUGUGUCUUACAUAAUGGGAUUAUGUGUCACACUAAGGGGAGGGGAUGUGUGGGUGGCAACUCGUGUAUGAUUGGUGUAUUGUGUAAUUACUGUAAAUCCCUCUCUUGCAUGGGAGAAAGCUUUAAAAGAAGGUUGUGUGAUUAAAAGUUCAGUUCUGACCUUAAAACGAAGUGUCGUCUCGUUAUUGGGGGAAUUGGAUUGUAUGCUGAUUGCCAGGAGUGUAAGCUGAUUGUAUGCUUUUCCUGUUCAGCUGCUUACAGCAUUCAUAUGCUUGAGAGCAUUCGUAUGCUUCUCCGGUUUGGUGGUUGUGGUGUCUGCUGCAGUGCUUGGAGUCUUCAGGAAGUGCUAGGAGCAUCCUUCAACGGAGGUACCCAGUCGGGGAGCCAGGUGAUCCGUUAGAUGGACCAAGUGGGGUUUGUGACUGGCUGCCAGGGGGCAGAUAACACUCACAGUGGUGGACCUGUUGUGUCACAUGAGAGAGGCUGGGACCGAGGGCCUCCUGCUCUCGCUGGAUGCAGAAAAAGCGUUUGACCGGUUGGGCUGGGGAUUCUUGGUCUCUGCACUGGUAGAGUUUGGCAUUCUCCGGUCAUGGGCCUUUAUUAUAGACCAACGGCGGUGGUAUCCAACGGUGGCUUCACCUCUACUAGAUUCACGCUAACUUAUGGGACGAGGCAGGCAUGCCCCCUGUCGCCGCUUUUGUACAUAUUAGCAUGAUAACUUAUGUCAGCUAUGAUACGAUCCUCGCCCAAUAUCCAUGGCAUCAAAAUAGGGAAGAAAGAACACAAGCUCAGUCUGUUUGCAGACGACGUCCUGAUCACACUAACCCAGCCACUAGCAUCUGUACCAGCAGUCCACUAACUCCUGAUGGACUACGGGGCUGUGUCUUACUACAAAUGAAACAAAUCAAAAUCCCAAGCUAUGGGAAUUAACCUUACUCGAGCGGCCACCCAAUUUCUUUGGUCAAAGUAUAAAUUUGAUUGGUCAGACAAGCACCUAAAGUUCCAAGGCCUCUGUUUGUCGCGAAACCCUCGGGACCUCUUUAUUAAUAACUAUGUCAGGAUCUGGAAAGAGAUAGAACUUCAAAUACGGGACUGGAGAGAAGUAUAUUUUAUGGGUAGGGAGAGCAGCUGCCUUUAAAAUUAUGUUACUGCCUAAACUACAAUAUAUUUUCCGCCUACUACCAAUACUAGAACCCUUGUCUUUCUUUAAUAAGGCACAGACAGAUUUAACAAAGUUCGUAUGGGCAGGAAAAAAAACCCAGUAUCAUUAAAACACCUAUGUAGACACUAUGAUGAGGGAGGCACUAGGGUCCCUGAUCUCCUUUACUACAAGGCGGCUGUGCUUGCACCUUUGAUGCAGGCAGCUGCGACUCAACAACGCCCACAGUGGGUUUCGAUUGAGGGAAAGCACUUCCUUUUUACACUUCAUGUAAAUAAGAGAUGAUGGUACAAGUAUAAAAAGGACCAAAAUCUAUUUAUUAACAAUAAUUAAAAAGCAUUAUAAUAUCCAAACGCGUUUCUCCAUAUAGGCUUUAUCAAUGGAUUAAAAAUGUUUGGUCCUUUUUAUACUUGUACCAUCAUCUUUUAUUUAAAUUUUUAUUACUAUUACCUGGCUUUUUACUUUAUUUUACUCUUGUCUUGUACUCCAAGAAUCCGAGGUGGGGAUCAUACCACAUAUGCCCUUGUCAUAGAGCAGUUAGCCUACCCUAUCAUCUGUGAGUAUAUUUUAUUAUACUUUUUAUGCUAGCAAUAUUUUACUGAGAGCACUAUUGCUGUUUUAUUAUCUUCCCUCUGAGCUCCUGUGACCAUCUCCAAGAUCACUCCUCAUAUAUCCCAGAAGCGGGGAUCAUACCGCUGCAAGCCUACCAUACUAGAGCUGGUAUAAGCUCUAUUAAAUGUGAGUGUAUCUACUAUUUUUUAUUACCUUUUAUCCACUGUGGAACAAACUGCACCAUUAUUGUUUCCAUUUUUAUUUCCCCCUUGGCUGUCUGUCACUGCAGGAUCGCUUGCAUUCGGUUCUACACCACUUAGAAGGGCACUGUUUGGUGGGAUUGUUUCCACGAACAAGGUGAACAAGCUCCAGGGUAAGAACAUUGGCUAUGUUCGGUAGUUUGUUUGGCUUUUAAACUACCGAACUAGAUUGACCGCAAGCCCUGAUUCUCUGGAACUGUUUUGGACAUGGGACCAUGAGUGCGGUCGGUCAAAUUAUGACUUCCAGAAAAUUCCUUAACCAAUCUGGGUGAUUUUUGGAUAUGUUGGUCACCCAGAUCGGGGCUAUCAGGGGAUGUAACUUUUGUGGGGGUUUGUGUGUCUAAAGGCAUUUUAAGGGUUUUUAAAAUAUGUAUGUUUUCUGUACCUGGAGAUAUUUGAGUUUAGUACAGUCCCUGACUCAAUUAUCUCCCAGGCACAGAGGAGGGAUUAUCUUGUUUUAUGUGGGAGUAUCCUGGACCUGAGAGCCAAUGUAAUUGUGUUUUUUACUGUAGUCUACUCUCAGGUCCAGGGGGGAGUGCCCUUUGCAUGGGGAACUGCAUAUAAGGUCAGUUGUGGCUACCAAUAAACGAGUUCCAGUUUACCCUCAACACAGAACCUCAUCUCGUGAUUGUAGAGGAAGGCUAUACCAGCUAUAAUCCCUGCUCCUGGGAUUGUUCUUUGGAUUGCUAUAAUCACUAGCUCUGCGAUACCUGCUAUACUCUCUUGGAGUAGAGGUCUUCUCACUGGGAGCUUGAUCCAGGAGUUUUGUCCAGCUGCAGCGGCUAAGGGGCUACAGUGCUUAUGGUGUCUGGUGCGGUGCUUAUGGUACUCGGUGACAGAUAGAAAGCAUUGAUUGGCAGAGGCACCCAAUCAGAGUGUCAGGCGGUCCGUCACAGGUAUUAUCUUCCUUCAGCCACUCAGAAACCACUUUAGAAUAUACCGAGACCCAUUUACCCCCAGGAACUGGACGAGACACAGCUCUGGAGGUACAACACCAUUUUAUUGGCCACACACGGCUGUUAUGCAUAACCCCAUGCAAGGGGUUUACCACACAACCAUACAGAGUCCCAUCCCAGGAUACUCCCCCUCCCCGGGGCCCUAGCACGAUUUCAAGAUCAGAGACAACAUGGGUUUACUUCAGGGAGAUCAUGCCCAACUAAUCUUAUUGAUUUUUUUGAUUGGGUAACUAAAAUAAUAGAUCAGGGUGGCGCAGGAGACAUUGCUUACCUAGAUUUCAGUAAGGCUUUUGACACUGUUGCACAUAGAAGGCUUAUCAAUAAACUGCAGCCUUUAAGUUUGGAUUCCAAUAUUGUGACAGGCAACAGAGGAUUGUAGUCAAUGGAUUAUAUUCAAAGCGUGGGCUUGUGGGGUACCUCAGGGAUAUGUACUUGGACCCAUUCUCUUUAAUAUUUUUAUUAGUGAUAUUGCAGAAGGUCUUGAUGUAAGGUAUGUCUUUUUGCCGCAGAUAUGUAACAGGGUUGAUGUUCCAGGAGGGAUAAGCAAAAUGGCAAAUGAUUUAGGUAACGUAGAAAAAUGGUCAGAGUUAAGGCAGCUGACAUUUAAUGUGGAUAAGUGCAAGAUAAUGCAUCUUGGACGUAAAAACCCAAGGGCAGAGUACAGAAUAUUUGAUAGAGUCCUAACCUCAACAUCUGAGGAAAGGGAUUUAGGGGUGAUUAUUUCUGAUGACUUAAAAGUAGGCAGACAAUGGAAUAGAGCAGCAGGAAAUGCUAGCAGAAUGCUUGGUUGUAUAGAGAGAGGUAUUAGCAGUAGAAAGAGGGAAGUGCUCAUGCCAUUUGUAACGGAUCACCUUCCAUUAAUGGACGCUUCCUAGCUUGCGCCGAGGACCACAAGCACCGCACUGGACACCACAAUAACCGCAGACUCCACAACUGCCGUAGCUUAACUGGAGCCUCGCCAUCUAAAGUCCACCCUGGAUCAGCUUCUGUCCUCCAGGACCGUGUGGGAAAGACAUAUAUUGCACUAUUGGAUCCUUUCUCUCCACAUAUAUCUGUAUCCUGCUCAAGACUGACAAGACGUGCCCUGCUGUAUAUAUCCUGAGACGGGGAUUGUUCCAUCUAUGCCAAAAAACAGCUGAGCUCUUAGUUAGCUCUGGGAAAUGUGAGUGUGACCAUAUUUGAUGCACUCAUAUAUCAGAUAAUUAUACUUGCGAUAUUGCACUAUUAUCUUCAUGUUCUUUUAUUUUUGAAGUCAAUUGCAUAUAGAUCACUGUAUACUUGUGUUCGUAUACAUAUUUAUUGUCUACGGCGCGGUUUCCUAUUUCCCCCUGUCUGCACAUAUAACAACCAGGUACCUCCUCAAGUCAUAUUCCCGGAUAGCCUGGACCUGAGCGCCCAAUAUAUUAAUAAACGCUCAGAUCCCAUGAACACAGCCGAAUCGCCACCGGGGUAAAGUUUUGACUGACCGCACACGAGGCGUCUGUCCAAAAUAGUUCCAGGAGAAAAGAGGUGGUGGUCGGUCUCUUUCGGGAGUUCGAAAACGUAUAAAAAACUGAACAUAUGCCAUAGCUGGUAUAUAGAUAGUGUUCACCUAAUCCAUGCGAAUGAUUCCACUGAACUGUUCUCUUCUAAGAUGUAAAGAAACACAGACAAGGAUGGAAGUUAAGCGGUGUUCUCGGGGUCGAGUUUCCUAUUUUAGUUCCAUGCACUCGACGACCAAACACCGCCACUGUUAUACGGAGUAAUAGCAGUGUUAUGAGGAACACAUUAUAUAGAGUAAUAGCAGUGUUAUAUGGAGCAUGUUAUAUUGAGUAAUUGGAGUGUUAAACAGAGCACAUUAUAUGGAGUAAUAGGAGUGUUGUUAUACGGAGUAAUAGCAGUGUUAUACGGAGCACAUUAUAUGGAGUAAUGGCAGUGUUAUACGGAGCACAUUAUAUGGAGUAAUAGGAGUGUUACACGGAGCACAUUAUAUGGAGUAAUAGGAGUGUUACACGGAGCACAUUAUAUGGAGUAAUAGGAGUGUUACACGGAGCACAUUAUAUGGAGUAAUAGGAGUGUUAUACGGAGCACAUUAUAUGGAGUAAUAGGAGUGUUAUACAGAGCACAUUAUAUGGAGUAAUAGGAGUGUUAUACGGAGCACAUUAUAUGGAGUAAUAGGAGUGUUACACGGAGCACAUUAUAUGGAGUAAUAGGAGUGUUACACGGAGCACAUUAUAUGGAGUAAUAGGAGUGUUAUACGGAGCACAUUAUAUGGAAUAAUAGGAGUGUUAUACGGAGCACAUUAUAUGGAGUAAUAGGAGUGUUAUACGGAGUAAUAGCAGUGUUAUACGGAGCACAUUAUAUGGAGUAAUGGCAGUGUUAUACGGAGCACAUUAUAUGGAGUAAUAGGAGUGUUGUUAUACGGAGUAAUAGCAGUGUUAUACGGAGCACAUUAUAU
rnacentral:lncRNA from 1 species